ensembl:snRNA U2 U2 spliceosomal RNA
AUCACUUCUCAGCCCUUUGGCCAAGAUCAAGUGUAGUACCUGUUCUUAUGAAUUAAAUAUCGGAUAUACCCUCUACCGAGGACAAUAUAUUAAAUGGAUUUUUGGAGUAGGGAGAUGGAAUUGGAGCUUGCUCCAUCUACUCCACACAUUGACCUCGUAUUGCAGUACCUCCUGGAACGGUGCACCUCCA